AUAAUACUCCCUCCGUCCGGGAAUACUUGUCAUCAAAAUGAAUAAAAGGGUAUGUAUCUAGACAUAUAUUAGUUCUAGAUACAUCUCUUUUUAUCCAUUUUGAUGACAAGUAUUUUCGGACGGAGGGAGUACAUU
rnacentral:pre_miRNA from 1 species